AUUCUUCUCCUUUGUGAUCUGCCUCAGCUCUUUCUCAAGCUCCCUGGCUUCCUCAGGUAGUUGAGCAUGACGCAGGCGAACCCGAGAACCUGCUUCAUCAACCAAGUCGAUUGCCUUAUCAGGCAAGAACCGAUCACUGAUGUACUGGUAUGACAGCUGCGCAGCAGCUACUAGUGCUUCAUCUGUGUAACGAAGUUUGUGGUGGAUUUCAUACCGCUCCCUAAGGCCUUUCAAAAUCUGUAUGGUUUCAUCCACAGAUGGU
rnacentral:misc_RNA from 1 species